UACGUAGGUGGCGAGCGUUGUCCGGAUUUAUUGGGUUUAAAGGGUGCGUAGGCGGCCCUGUAAGUCAGUGCUGAAAUAUCCCGGCUUAACUGGGAGGGUGGCAUUGAUACUGUGGGGCUAGAGUACAGAUGAGGUAGGCGGAAUUGACGGUGUAGCGGUGAAAUGCUUAGAUAUCGUCAAGAACACCUAUAGCGAAGGCAGCUUACUAGGCUGUAACUGACGCUGAGACGCGAAAGCGUGGGGAGCAAACAGG
rnacentral:rRNA from 1 species